rnacentral:misc_RNA from 2 species
ACACCUCAACUCUCAUGGCUUGCCGUGAUGUGCUUGGACUUUGGGGGUCUUGUUGGCCUGUGAGCCAGCUCCUCUUAAAUGAAUUAGCUUGCCGGUGUUUGGUGGCGUCACAGGUGUGAUAACUAUCUACGCUUGUGGUUCCCCACCAGGGUAACCUUCAGCAAUGAAGGUUCACCGGAGCUUAUAAAUGUCUCUCCUCAGCGAGGACAGAUUUUGACC